UCUGGCCUAUUCACAGCUGAGUGGUAAUGGCUCCUGGGCCUGCUACUCGAUCAUGAGGACAGCCUCGUGACCUGUCUCCAAGGCAUUCUGUAUUGGGUGUGAAGAGAGUAACUUCCUCUGAAGACCAGACUCAUUACAGUGACACCCAGCAGCAGCAGCAAGAUGUUGACAACCAAGAUUACCCACCCCAGUCACCUACCUACUGCUUCCUGUGAAUUGGAUAUAAAUCUUCUUUAUGGGCACUGAGUCCCCGGGAACCCGAAGAA
rnacentral:lncRNA from 1 species